rnacentral:pre_miRNA from 1 species
AAAAAGACAAACCUUAGGUUUCCGUGUCUAACUUUGACUGUCCGUCUUAUAUAAAAUUUUUUUAUAAUUCGUAUUUUUAUUGUUGUUAGAUGAUAAAACAUGAUUAAUAUUUUAUGCGUGACUUAUCUUUUUAAUUUUUUUUAAUAUUUUUUUCAAAUAAGACGGACGGUCAAACGUUAGGCACGGAAACCAGGGUUUGUCUUUUU